GUCCACGCCCUAAACGAUGCGAACUGGAUGUUGGGUGCAAUUUGGCACGCAGUAUCGAAGCUAACGCGUUAAGUUCGCCGCCUGGGGAGUACGGUCGCAAGACUGAAACUCAAAGGAAUUGACGGGGGCCCGCACAAGCGGUGGAGUAUGUGGUUUAAUUCGAUGCAACGCGAAGAACCUUACCUGGCCUUGACAUGUCGCGAACUUUUCCAGAGAUGGAUUGGUGCCUUCGGGAACGCGAACACAGGUGCUGCAUGGCUGUCGU
rnacentral:rRNA from 1 species